GGGGGCGAUCGGUUUCGACGGGGAUCACGACGCUCAAGGCCGCACCCCGAGGGCGCCCAUCACCUCGUCAAAUGGUGGGUCGGCUAUAGCUGCCGAAAAAGAGCUAGCUCUCGCCGCCUAACACGCGGUGACGUCCGCCUGUCUCGCGCCAGCGGGGGGUGGGGCCGGGCGUCAGAUUCCGGUGGCUGGCGUCGCGGACGGGCCUGGGUACCGCGACGCGAGACCUGACAGGCUGGCCCGGCGCGGAUCCGGCCCGCAGGAGCCGCGCGGGGCGAGAUGAAAUCGCGGGCUAUGGGUGUAGGGGCCGUGAGCUGACGGUUUCCGGACGUGGGUUCGAUUCCCACCGCCUCCACCA
rnacentral:tmRNA from 1 species